rnacentral:rRNA from 1 species
GACGAACGCUGGCGGCGCGCCUAACACAUGCAAGUCGAACGGAGAUAUUUUGCUUGAAGUUUUCGGAUGGAAAGCAGCUUAUCUUAGUGGCGAACGGGUGAGUAACACGUGAGCAACCUGCCUUUCAGAGGGGGACAACAUUUGGAAACGAAUGCUAAUACCGCAUAAGACCACAGUGUCGCAUGGCACAGGGGUCAAAGGAGCAAUCCGCUGAAAGAUGGGCUCGCGUCCGAUUAGGUAGUUGGUGAGGUAACGGCCCACCAAGCCGACGAUCGGUAGCCGGACUGAGAGGUUGAACGGCCACAUUGGGACUGAGACACGGCCCAG